rnacentral:lncRNA from 1 species
GGUACCUAAAAACUUGAUCCAUGUUUUGCAAGUGUGCUUGGCAUCCCUUGAGACGAAAAGAAAAUAGUAUCUAGACAGCGGAUGCUCAAGAUAUAUGAUGAAAGAUAAAUCUUAAUUUAUCUUUCUUAAAGCCAAAGAUGGAGGAGUUGUUAUAUUUGGAUACAAUUGUAAAGAUAAAAUAUUGAUCUCGAAAUAUAAAGAUAACUUCUAUCACUUAUAUUAAAAAAUUUUCCUUAUU